GGAGAAUCUAUUCUGCCUGACCAGUCACUGUAACUCACUAAUGGAUUACAGAAAACACUGCAAAAAAUGAAGAGUAUGUCAGAGAAAUCUGAGUAGGGUUUAUGUUAAGGGUAUGAAAAUCUGCAAUAAGAACACCAUUUCCUUUUUAAUUGUGGUGGGAAAACUUAACAAAUUACCAUGGCUCAUCCUUUUUUCAAAACAAAUACAGAAAUAAUUUGUAAAAGUUCUUGAAAAAAUGUCUGGAUUUUUUUUUUUUUGUGUGUUUUUAUUCUCUAGUUUUAAAAUGAAGGUCUUACAGGCCAGGUAAGACAUAGCUAAAUGCAUCUGAAAAUCUAUUUGCAUCUAAAAUCUAAUUACUAUUUUCAAUGCUGAGUUUUUGUGAAUAAAUAAAUAAGAUCAAAUCCUUUUGAUCUUUUAACAACUAACUUAAUCUGGAGAUGAAAUAAGCAUCAGCAGAGAAACAAAUCAUUGCAUAAAGGUUCAGAAUUCAUAUAGUAAUAUAGGUUAUGAAAGACAACUGAUGCAAUCAAAUGUAAAAAAUGGACAUAAACAAAAAGACUGAAGAAUGAAGAGUAAGCAUGGUUUAUCAUUAAGAAAAUAGUUAAUAAAAUACAACACAAUUAUAUAAAGCUAUUGGAGUUCAGACUAUAAGCAAAACAAGCUAUUCUGGUAUCAAUUUUUCUGAUACUAGGAGGACACCGGAAGAGGACACGGAGGUAGAUUUACUCGUAAAUUGCAUGUAAAAAGAGUGUACUCUGUAAUAUAUUUUUAAGUGUCUAACCUAAAAACUUAAGAAUUUAAUAUAAUUUAGCUUUAAACAUUUGCUAUUUUACCUAGACUAAAAUAAAAUAAUAAAAUUAUGAAUUCAAAAUAUGCAAAUGCAUGCUACAUGUAUACUUGCAGAUUGCUGAAGCAAUAUACAUGUUAAAUUUCAUUAAUUUGAAAACAGAUUUAUUAACUGUACAGUCAUUUAUAAGCGUCCUUGCAACAGUGCCAUGUUUUCUAAUUCUGUCCAUACUAAUUCUUUCUACAGAAUUAUAUAUCCACACACACACAUAUAUCUCCACUAUAUCAUAUCACAGGGCAUAUCCAGAGCUGACACAUGCAUGCAAGUGCUUCUAGUAUAACAACAAGCUGAUUGUACCUAAAAAGUCAGAAUUUUGGAAUAUGUUUUAUUUGUUGUUUUGAAUACAAAGGCAUGAUUUUUCAUUUUGCUAUACAAAACCUAUUGGAUACAUAACUAAUACUCUUUACAGCAGUACAGCUCUGAAUGUUUUGGGAUUAACAUGCCAAAUAUGUAUUAUUCCCAAAAGAACACCUUGCUGGGAGUAUCACAAUGUAAAGCACCCUAGUACACAUUGCUUCUUUGGAGCCUGAAAAUCUAAUGCUUUUAUAACAGACCAGGAAUAAUUUCACUCAGAAUGAAUUUCAUUAAUUGUGAAAGUUUAUUAAAUGCUCUGAAUAGUUACUAAUUUAUCAUCUGAAAAAUAAUAACAAAAAAGUGGAUAUAUCAUUAUUAGCCUUAUUUCCAAGCAAAAGGCUUGGGUUUCUUUAAGAUAUUAUGUGCAGCCUUAUCAGGUUUGGAAUGCAUGUGUUGCUCACUUUAGUACUUACAUGCAAACAUAGUUUCUCCUUCUCUUAAUGCUUAUUACUUUGUUUCAAAUUUGGCUCAAAUAUACUCAGUAUAAAAUACUUAUGUUCAAUCUCCUCACAGAUGUACAGAAGCCACAAAGCAUACUCAUAGCCUUGCCCUGAUCAGAGUACAAUGCAAACAGAGGUCAAAUUUUGGAAGCCUUCUCGAAAGAAUACUAGGAAAACGACGAGGAUGCAGAGGACCUGAGGUGCAACAGUUUUGUGUUUGUUCCAUGCUGCUGGCUAGAGCCCAGUGCUGACAGCGGCCAGAGCUGUGGACUCCUGAACUCAGUAAUGCCUGCUCAUCACAGCAGGAGAGAUGUUUCAGUUACAGUGCAUCUGUGUAUUGUGCACAAUGUUUUCUUUUUUCUGUCCCCUUACUAAAUCCAACAUCUAAGUGGCAUGCUGUGGUGUUCCCUUAUUCUCUCCUUGUGGCAAAGGGUUUCCAUGUUUUCUGUCUCUCAAAGGUGGGAGAAAAGAAAUAUUUACUUAUGAAAAACGCAAAGGAAUUAAGAACAGUAACUGAUUUUCUUCAGUCCUCUCGUGCUGCAUCCGAUAUAAGAUCCCACAAAGCAAGAAUCAUUAAGAAUAUGAUGUUCUGACAACUUCUGGACAUCCUGAAAGUUAGAGACAGAAAAAUGUCUCUGUUUUUUGCUUGGAAAAAACAAAACUCUGGGGAAAUUUUGUUGAGGAUUUUCAAUGCUUGAAGAGGGCUUCUAAGAAAAAUAGGAACAAACUUUUUGUAGCAAUUGGACAAGGAGUAAUGGUUUAAAACUAAAAGAGGGCAGACUCAGGCUAGAUACAAUGAAGAAAUUGGUUUACAAUGACUGUGGUGAAACACUGCACUAUGUUUCCCAGAGAAGUGGUAGAUGCCCCAUCACUGGAAAGACUCAAAUUCAGGUUGAAUGGAGCUCUAAUUAUCCGGAAGAUGUCCCUGCUCAUUGCAAGGAGGUUGGACCUUUAAAGAGUCCUUUCAAACCAGACUUAUUCUAUGACUCUAUUCUGUUCUGAACCCAGCACUGUGACUUCAGUAAUGGAACCAGGUAUCACAUGUAUCAUACCCAUUAGUACAAGAAAUACUGAUUUUCUCUAUAUCUCCUCUGGAACAGUACUUACAAGAAUAUCAGAAGAUGAUAUAAAAGAUAUAAAAGAAGAUCAGAAAUGUUUUUUAUAGGUAGUGCUUUCCUUCCAAGCACUUUCCUUUGAUAAAGAGAUAUGCAAUAACAAGUUACUGUAUUGUAUGUUUCUAUUGCCAGAUCUCAAAGCCCUUUGCUGGCAAGAUCUAAUAUAUUAGGCACUCAUUCCACAGAUGGAGAAAUG
ensembl:lncRNA